rnacentral:rRNA from 1 species
CACGUAGGGGGCGAGCGUUGUCCGGAUUUAUUGGGCGUAAAGAGCUCGUAGGCGGCUCAGUAAGUCGGGUGUGAAAUUUCAGGGCUCAACCCUGAAACGCCACCCGAUACUGCUGUGGCUAGAGUCCGGUAGGGGAGCGUGGAAUUCCUGGUGUAGCGGUGAAAUGCGCAGAUAUCAGGAGGAACACCGGUGGCGAAGGCGGGUCUCUGGGCCGUAACUGACGCUGAGGAGCGAAAGCGUGGGGAGCGAACAGG